rnacentral:RNase_P_RNA from 1 species
GAAGCCAGCCAGACAGUCGCUGUGUCGUUCGUUUUCGGCAUGGAGGAAAGUCCGGGCUCCACAGAGCAGGAUGCCGGCUAACGGCCGGGCGCAGCAAGCGGUGGUUUGCGCCAUUGCCCAAGGCGACGGAAAGUGCCACAGAGAACAGACCGCCGAUGGCCGCAAGGCACAGGCAAGGGUGAAACGGUGCGGUAAGAGCGCACCGCGGUCGCGGUAACGCGAACGGCACGGCAAACCCCAUCCGGAGCAAGAUCAAAUAGGGGGGCAUUGGCGCUGCUCGCGUCGCUCCCGGGUAGAUCGCUAGAGCCGUCGGGUAACCGCCGGCCCAGAGGAAUGACUGUCCGCGACAGAACCCGGCUUAUCGGCUGACUUCACGC